AGGAGGAACAACCCCAGUGGCGGCGGCCAGCUCUGGAGCCCUGGCUUCAGCUCCCGCAGUAACUAUGGUGCUCUCAGCCUGGAGAGGCCUGGAGGCUCCGGGGUGGG
rnacentral:pre_miRNA from 1 species